AGAGCACUCCUACGGGAGGCAGCAGUGGGGAAUAUUGCACAAUGGGCGCAAGCCUGAUGCAGCCAUGCCGCGUGUAUGAAGAAGGCCUUCGGGUUGUAAAGUACUUUCAGCAGUGAGGAAGGUGGGUAUGUUAAUAGCAUACUCAUUUGACGUUAGCUGCAGAAGAAGCACCGGCUAACUCCGUGCCAGCAGCCGCGGUAAUACGGAGGGUGCGAGCGUUAAUCGGAAUUACUGGGCGUAAAGCGCAUGCAGGUGGUUUGUUAAGUCAGAUGUGAAAGCCCGGGGCUCAACCUCGGAAUUGCAUUUGAAACUGGCAAACUAGAGUACUGUAGAGGGGGUAGAAUUUCAGGUGUAGCGGUGAAAUGCGUAGAGAUCUGAAGGAAUACCGGUGGCGAAGGCGGCCCCCAGGACAGAUACUGACACUCAGAUGCGAAAGCGUGGGGAGCAAACAGGAUUAGAUACCCUGGUAG
rnacentral:rRNA from 1 species